CACCGGGCAGCAGGUCGCUCUCGGACGGUCGGUUAACCCGGGACCCACGCGGCCCACCGGGUAAGCGUGGCCCCACGCGUCAGUGACUGGUCCGGGCGGCGCGUUCCGGGGCGUGGGGACCCACGUGGCGGUGGGCCGUUCGUGCGUCCGAAGCUCCGGGAAAAGUCCCUCGCCGGCGGCGAGGCGAUCGCCGGAGCCGGAAGGGGUCUCGGCCGCGAUGGAGUCUGGGCCAAUUUCGCCCGGCCGGAUCGCAGGUGAGAGGUUCUGGAUUCCGCGGAACUUGCUUAUUCCCGUGCGGUCGUUGAUUAGUGGUGAAGCUAGCGCAGCGCAGCGCAGGCAGGGAUGGAUGGGAGCAUGGAAACUCUGGUGACCGAUCCGGCGACAAUGGCGUCACCAUCUUUCGAUUAUUGUGGGUGUGCUUGUCCCUGAUUAUCCGCUUGCUUCUUUGGGACUUGGGAGGCUUGUGGAUGUGGUGUUAGUUUUGAUCUGGAUUUGGGAGAGGGCAAACGGUACAGUGAAAGGUUGCUUGCACUGCCAGGAGGAUCAAGGAACUUGCCUAGUGCCUAGGAUCUGCGACUGGCUUAUUAGUAAUUUGUUAUAUUAUAGGUGUUGAAGAUGAUACUGAGGCUUCCUCUUAAUAAAUAUUCAUACAUCUCUGUCUGUCUGGCCCAGAUGAUUGUGAUUGGGUCAAUCUGGAUUCUGGAGCUCUGGGCCACUACAUCAUCCUUUAGGUUUGCCUUGCUACUGUUCAAAGUUCAUCAGCUGAUCAGAAGAACUAUUCUUGGUGCAAAAACCAGUUGAGUGACUCUGUGGUUCGCACUAUAAUGUUCAGGCUAGGAUUUGCUGCUCUGGUGUUUUGAGGAGGUAGUGUUUAGUGUUCUGUCCUGCAGCCUGCUUAGUUUCUGAAUAUACAGAAUGUUAUAGCAGCACAUGGAACUUGGGAUUUAUGCAUCAAUUUUCACUCCCAUAGAUUUUUGUGACCAAGUCAUCAGAAUUGACAUUUGUCGAGAUAUAAAGACCAGAACUGGCGUGGGUCACGGAUGGCUUGUCAGUGAGGCCAACCGGUGCAAAGAAAAAUGAGACAUUUGUCAGCUACUCGGCUUAUUCAUGUGACAAACAAAAAGUUCCAUGGAUGGAGUUGCAAUUUACAGAAGCGGGUAAGUAAGACCAUUACCAAGGUAUGUGCGCAGCUUUGUUUCGUCUUCUAAUUCGGGAGGACUACGAAUGCAAGUGAGUGGGAUGGUCGAUCAUGAUUAAAUGGGUCUUUUACUGAAGACUUGGUAAUUUCUGAAGAGUCCGGAUCCUAGGACACGCAUCACCUUCUUUUGUUUCUAUGGCGCUGAACAAUACUUCUCCCGACAACAUGUGGAUAAUUUAAUGUAUCUCUAAGCAAGUUGGGGUAAUUUGUGGUCCUUAUGCUCCAAUUCACACAGACACGUCGUAGGUGCAUUAAAUGCCUUUUUUUUCCUGAACAAGCAUAGUGGUUGAUUGUUUGUGUGGAUGGCAAUUACUUGUGAAAUGAGCACCUAGGUUUGGAUCAUGCAUCAUGGUUAUUCAUUUGUUCUGAAUGGCUAUAAUCUUAGUAUUUUGUUA